rnacentral:rRNA from 1 species
UACGUAGGGUGCGAGCGUUGUCCGGAAUUAUUGGGCGUAAAGGGCUCGUAGGCGGUUUGUCGCGUCGGGAGUGAAAUCCACUGGCUUAACUGGUGGCUUGCUUUCGAUACGGGCAGACUGGAGGUAUGCAGGGGAGAACGGAAUUCCUGGUGUAGCGGUGAAAUGCUUAGAUAUCGUCCAGAACACCGAUAGCGAAGGCAGCUUACUAAGGAGUAACUGACGCUGAGGCACGAAAGUGUGGGGAUCAAACAGG